rnacentral:rRNA from 1 species
GACGAACGCUGGCGGCGUGCUUAACACAUGCAAGUCGAACGGAAAGGCCCUGCUUUUGUGGGGUGCUCGAGUGGCGAACGGGUGAGUAACGCGUGAGUAACCUGCCCUUGACUUUGGGAUAACUUCAGGAAACUGGGGCUAAUACCGGAUAGGAGCUCCUGCUGCAUGGUGGGGGUUGGAAAGUUUCGGCGGUUGGGGAUGGACUCGCGGCUUAUCAGCUUGUUGGUGGGGUAGUGGCUUACCAAGGCUUUGACGGGUAGCCGGCCUGAGAGGGUGACCGGCCACAUUGGGACUGAGAUGCGGCCCAGACUCCUACGGGAGGCAGCAGUGGGGAAUAUUGCACAAUGGGCGGAAGCCUGAUGCAGCAACGCCGCGUGCGGGAUGACGGCCUUCGGGUUGUAAACCGCUUUCGCCUGUGACGAAGCGUGAGUGACGGUAAUGGGUAAAGAAGCACCGGCUAACUACGUG